ACGUAUGGUGCAAGCGUUAUCCGGAUUUACUGGGUGUAAAGGGAGCGUAGACGGUUGUGUAAGUCUGAUGUGAAAGCUCGGGGCUCAACCCCGGGACUGCAUUGGAAACUAUGUAACUAGAGUGUCGGAGAGGUAAGCGGAAUUCCUAGUGUAGCGGUGAAAUGCGUAGAUAUUAGGAGGAACACCAGUGGCGAAGGCGGCUUACUGGACGAUCACUGACGUUGAGGCUCGAAAGCGUGGGGAGCAAACAG
rnacentral:rRNA from 1 species